rnacentral:rRNA from 1 species
CUUAGUGGCGGACGGGUGAGUAACACGUGAGUAACCUGCCUUUUAGUGGGGAAUAACGGCUGGAAACGGUCGCUAAUACCGCAUAAUGUCUUGGAGUCGCAUGACUUUGAGACCAAAGAUUUAUCGCUGAAAGAUGGACUCGCGCCCGAUUAGCUAGUUGGUGAGGUAAUGGCUCACCAAGGCGACGAUCGGUAGCCGGACUGAGAGGUUGAACGGCCACAUUGGGACUGAGACACGGCCCAGACUCCUACGGGAGGCAGCAGUGGGGGAUAUUGCACAAUGGGGGAAACCCUGAUGCAGCGAUGCCGCGUGUAGGAAGACGGUCCUCUGGAUUGUAAACUACUGUCUUCAGGGACGAUAAUGACGGUACCUGAGGAGGAAGCUCCGGCUAACUACGUGCCAGCAGCCGCGGUAAUACGUAGGGAGCGAGCGUUGUCCGGAAUUACUGGGUGUAAAGGGAGCGUAGGCGGGGUUUUAAGUCCGUUGUGAAAUCUAUCGGCUCAACCGGUAGCUGCGGCGGAAACUGGGACUCUUGAGUGAAGUAGAGGCAGGCGGAAUUCCUAGUGUAGCGGUGAAAUGCGUAGAUAUUAGGAGGAACACCAGUGGCGAAGGCGGCCUGCUGGGCUUUUACUGACGCUGAGGCUCGAAAGUGUGGGGAGCAAACAGGAUUAGAUACCCUGGUAGUCCACACUGUAAACGAUGAUUACUAGGUGUGGGGGGUCUGACCCCUUCCGUGCCGGAGUUAACACAAUAAGUAAUCCACCUGGGGAGUACGGCCGCAAGGUUGAA